GGUCUCGUACCUCAGUUGGUUACAGCUUUGACUGUACUAAAGCCUGUUCCUUGCUGGCGUGGGUUCGAAUCCCACCGAGGCCA
rnacentral:tRNA from 1 species